UAGGGAAUCUUCCGCAAUGGACGAAAGUCUGACGGAGCAACGCCGCGUGAGUGAAGAAGGAUUUCGGUUCGUAAAACUCUGUUGUUAGGGAAGAAAAAAUGUAUAGUAACUAUAUACAAAAGAGACGGUACCUAACCAGAAAGCCACGGCUAACUACGUGCCAGCAGCCGCGGUAAUACGUAGGUGGCAAGCGUUGUCCGGAAUUAUUGGGCGUAAAGCGCGCGCAGGUGGUUUAGAAAGUCUGAUGUGAAAGCCCACGGCUCAACCGUGGAGGGUCAUUGGAAACUAAUAAACUUGAGUGCAGGAGAGAAAAGUGGAAUUCCUAGUGUAGCGGUGAAAUGCGUAGAGAUUAGGAGGAACACCGGUGGCGAAGGCGACUUUCUGGACUUUUACUGACGCUCAGGUACGAAAGCGUGGGGAGCAAACAGG
rnacentral:rRNA from 1 species